ACUCACAGGUGGCCCAUUGUCCUGCCUUGCUUUUCUCCAUUAUCUCUGGGUCAAGUUGUUUCUUUGAUUAAUCCAAAUCAUGAAAAUAGCCUGCUGAAAGAAUUCACUUUGAAAAUGCCACAAAACAGACAAUGGAAAAAUGAGAUGAACAAGUGUGAAUCCAUCGUUCUUCUCAGGUUCUGGAAAAAUGCUGGUUUUCAGUUCCUGGAAAAUUCUCACAAGACAUCUGUUUUGUUUUAUACCUUCAUUUGUUUCCAUUCAUCAUUCCUACUGUAGACACUGUCUAUGAUAUUUU